AUGUGGUCUUCCCGCCGUCACUGUCCGGCAGGGCGCUCCCUUCAUCCUGAGAUCGCGCUGCCCUGCCUUCUUGCGCAGCCUGCCCCUGGGUAGAGUCCUACACAGCGUGGGCAUCUCUGUUUCAACCACACUGCAUGCAGAGGGACACCAGGAUCAGAUGGAAUCACUAUGUUGUUCGACUGGUCUCCAGCCCCCGGGUUCAAGAGAUCCUCCAGCCUCAGUCUCCAAGUAGCUGGGACAACAGGCAUACUACCAUGCCCAGCUUGGAGUUGCAGAUUUUAAAGAAACAAGGAGAAAGGGAAUUGGGGAAGCAAAGCUAAGGACCGGGCAACUGGGGAAGAGAACACAAGGCAGAUGGCCAG
rnacentral:lncRNA from 1 species